rnacentral:piRNA from 1 species
UAUGAAAUUCUGUAGUACCUGAUAUCGC